GGCCUACCAUGGUGGUAACGGGUAACGGGGUGUUAGGGCACGACACCGGAGAGGGAGCCUGAGAAACGGCUACCACAUCCAAGGAUGGCAGCAGGCGCGCAAAUUACCCAAUCCCGACACGGGGAGGUAGUGACAAUAAAUAACAAUACGGGGUUCUUUCGGAUCUCGUAAUUGGAAUGAGUACAAUUUAAAUCUCUUAACGAGGAACAAUUGGAGGGCAAGUCUGGUGCCAGCAGCCGCGGUAAUUCCAGCUCCAAUAGCGUAUAUUAAAGUUGUUGCAGUUAAAAAGCUCGUAGUUGAAUUUCGAGAUCAAUUUAUUGGUCGUGCUAUUGUACGUACUGGUAUUAUUGAUUUCUACCUUCUGACGAACCAUGAUGUCAUUAAUUUGGUGUCAUGGGGAAUCAGGACUGUUACUUUGAAAAAAUUAGAGUGUUUAAAGCAGGCUCACGCUUGAAUACAUUAGCAUGGAAUAACGAAAUAGGACGUUUGAUUCUAUUUUGUUGGUUUCUAGGAUCGACGUAAUGAUUAAUAGGGAUAGUUGGGGGCAUUAGUAUUCAACUGUCAGAGGUGAAAUUCUUGGAUUUAUUGAAGACUAACUACUGCGAAAGCAUUUGCCAAGGAUGUUUUCAUUAAUCAAGAACGAAAGUUAGGGGAUCGAAGACGAUCAGAUACCGUCGUAGUCUUAACCAUAAACUAUGCCGACUAGGGAUCGGAUGAUGUUAAUUUUUUAAUGACUCAUUCGGCGCCUUAC
rnacentral:rRNA from 1 species